UACAGAGACUGCAAGCGUUAUUCGGAUUCACUGGGCGUAAAGGGUGCGCAGGCGGUUGGGUGUGUCAGAUGUGAAAUCCCGAGGCUCAACCUCGGAACUGCGUCUGAAACUACUCGACUAGAGUACUGGAGAGGGUAACGGAAUUCACGGUGUAGCAGUGAAAUGCGUAAAUAUCGUGAGGACACCAGAGGCGAAGCGGUUACCUGGACAGUUACUGGACGCUCAGGCACGAAAGCAUGGGGAGCAAAGGGA
rnacentral:rRNA from 1 species